rnacentral:tRNA from 1 species
UGGGGGAUCGUCUAAUGGUAGGACACCGACCUUUGAAGUCGAGAAUUUAGGUUCGAUUCCUAGUCCCCCAG